GGUCGGCGCGCGCCCGCCCUGCCCCCGCCUCGGCCCGGCGCCCUGAGCCGCGGCCCCCUCGCAGCUCAGGGGCCGGCGGCCGCGGCAGGGCGGGCGCCGCGCGGAGGCAGGGCGGGCGUAUUCAAUGGAAGUAUGUUACCAGCUGCCGGUGCUGCCCCUGGACAGGCCGGUCCCCCAGCACGUCCUCAGCCGCCGAGGAGCCAUCAGCUUCAGCUCCAGCUCCGCGCUCUUCGGCUGUCCCAAUCCCCGGCAGCUCUCACAGAGGCGUGGAGCUAUUUCUUAUGACAGUUCUGAUCAGACUGCUCUGUACAUUCGUAUGCUAGGAGAUGUACGAGUAAGGAGCCGAGCAGGAUUUGAAUCAGAAAGAAGAGGUUCUCAUCCAUAUAUUGAUUUUCGUAUUUUUCACUCUCAAUCUGAAUUUGAAGUGUCUGUCUCUGCAAGGAAUAUUAGGCGGUUACUAAGUUUCCAGCGGUAUCUCAGAUCCUCACGCUUUUUCCGUGGUACUACUGCUUCCAGUUCUCUAAACAUUUUAGAUGAUGAUUAUAAUGGACAAGCCAAGUGUAUGCUGGAAAAAGUUGGAAAUUGGAAUUUUGAUAUCUUUCUAUUUGAUAGACUAACAAAUGGAAAUAGUCUAGUAAGUUUAACCUUUCAUUUAUUUAGUCUUCAUGGAUUAAUUGAGUACUUCCAUUUAGAUAUGAUGAAACUUCGUAGAUUUUUAGUUAUGAUUCAAGAAGAUUACCACAGUCAAAAUCCUUAUCAUAAUGCAGUCCAUGCUGCAGAUGUUACUCAGGCCAUGCACUGUUACUUAAAGGAACCUAAGCUUGCCAAUUCUGUAACUCCUUGGGAUAUCUUGCUGAGCUUAAUUGCAGCUGCCACUCAUGAUCUGGAUCAUCCAGGUGUUAAUCAACCUUUCCUUAUUAAAACUAACCAUUACUUGGCAACUUUAUACAAGAAUACCUCAGUACUGGAAAAUCACCACUGGAGAUCUGCAGUGGGCUUAUUGAGAGAAUCCGGUUUAUUCUCACAUUUGCCAUUAGAAAGAAGGCAACAAAUGGAGACUCAGAUAGGUGCUUUGAUACUGGCCACAGAUAUCAGUCGUCAGAACGAGUACCUGUCAUUGUUUAGGUCCCAUUUGGAUAGAGGUGACUUGUGCCUAGAAGAUGCCAGACAUAGGCAUUUGGUUUUACAGAUGGCUUUGAAAUGUGCUGAUAUCUGUAACCCUUGUCGGACCUGGGAAUUAAGCAAACAAUGGAGUGAAAAAGUAACAGAAGAAUUCUUCCACCAAGGAGAUAUAGAAAAAAAGUAUCAUUUGAGUGUGAGUCCACUUUGUGAUCGUCAGACUGAAUCUAUUGCCAACAUCCAGAUUGGUUUUAUGACUUACCUAGUGGAGCCGUUAUUUACAGAAUGGGCCAGGUUUUCAGACACAAGGCUAUCCCAGACAAUGCUUGGACAUGUGGGACUGAAUAAGGCCAGCUGGAAGGGGCUGCAGAGAGAGCAGUCCAGCAGCGAGGAUGCCGAUGCCGCAUUUGAGUUGAACUCAAAGUUAUUACCUCAGGAAAACCGGUUAUCAUAACCCCUGAACCAGUGGGACAGACUGCCUCCUGGAGGCUUUUAGUAAUGUGAAACGGGGUCUUGAGGUGAGAGAACUUACUCUUGACUGCCAAGGUUUCCAAGUGAAUGAUGCCAGCAUUAUUUAUUUCCAAGAUUUCCUAAGUUGGAUCAUUUGAACCCACUUUUUAAUUAUGAGACCUGAACAUACAGCAAUAUGCUUUUGGCUUUUGUGUGAAACCUUGAAUAUGCAAAGCCCAGCAGGAGAACCCGAAAAGAGUAAAAAAAGAAGUUUCUCAGUGUGCCACGCAUUUUUCAAAGCAUUUACUCUUCAAACAUGAAACUUGAACUGAAUCUUUCAGCAGCAGUCUCUUGGAAUUCAACCAGUCUGAUGCAACAUUGUGUAUCUGUACCUUCCACUAAGUUCUCUCUGAGAAAAAGGAAAUGUGAAGUGCCCAGCCUCUGCUGCCUCUGGCAAGACUCAGUGUUUACAAAUCAACUCUGAAAAUAUUGGUUCUAAAUUGCUUUGGAGCAUGAUUGUGAAGGAACCACUUAAAAAAAAAAAUUUAAAGAUCAAACUUUAGACUGCAGCUCUUCCCCCUGUUUGCCUUUUUUCUUCUUUGGAUGCCACCAAAGGCUCCUGUUUGCUGUAUUUUAUUUCGUGCACUGGAAGCUGAGCAUUUAUUCCAGUGCGUUUAUCAUAGAGUACCGCCAAGCUUCUACUCCAGUGCUGUUUGGCAAUGCAGUUUUUUUUAACUGUUAGUUUUUAAUUUGGGGUGGGAGGGGAGGAACGCCAAUGUCCUAGCUGUGUUAUGAUUCUGCAGUGAAGACAUUGCAUGUUGUUUUCACUACUGUACACUUGACCUGCACAUGCAAGAAAAAGGUGGAAUGUUUAAAACACCAUAAUCAGCUCAGGGUAUUUGCCAAUCUGAAAUAAAGUGGGAUGGGGAAGUGUGUCCUUCAGAUCCAGGGUACUAAAGUCCCUUUCGCUGCAGUGAGUGAGAGGCAAAUCUUCUUGAGAAGCCAAAUUAUGAACAGCCGGUUCACUUGGUGAGCAUGGAUUCUGAGCAAGGGAAGCAAGUUGCCUCAUGCCUCCAUCUCCUUAUGGAGAUAGUCCUGCUGAUAUUCAUGUUUGUGGACCAGGGUACCCUCUUCCCCUGGAAGAUGCUAGAGAUUCUCUGCCAGUAGUUACUUCUCCACAUUAGCUUCUGAUUGGCAACUCCAUUAGAUGUCAUUGCCUUCAACAUUGUUUCAGUUGAGCUUACCUAGGCUCCGUUCUACCUGUGUGUGCUUUCUUCUGCUCUGACCAAUUGUUUGUCUUAUAGUUUAAUACUCAAAAGAUUAGCUUACAGUUUCCACAUUCUCAGGGGGACACCUUGGUGUUGCUUCCAUUUUCCUAUCAGUGUAAUAAAUCCAUUCAAAAGUCAUGUUUUGUUAUGUAUAUGUGGGAAACACCUUUUAUAGCCCUGCUUUUUAAAUGGAGCAUAUGUUCCUUGAACAUUGAAUUUUGUAGAAAAUUUUGAGGAUACAAAUAUUAAGAUCACAUUUUUUAAAAAUAAGCAAAUAUGGAACAAUGUAAAGUCCACAUGAAUUUUUAAGAUAAAAUAGGAGACUUUAAAGAAUUGUUAAGCAUGUAACAGCCCUUUCAGGCUCUUGGCCUAAUACUUCACUGGUGAGGGAAUCUAUUCUUUAUGGAUUAAGGUCCUUGGAAAGCAAAUCUUGACAAGUCCCAGCUUAACGACAAAAAUUGGUUCCUGAUCAGUAUUUGUACUCACUGUAAAUGUGAUGGUUUGUAAUGAUCCUCUUUGUAUAAAUAGUAACAAUUACAUUUUAUGUCCUUUGCAAACACGGGAAAUAUCCUUGUACCUGGUGUACAGGUUAGAGGUGCUAGUAACUCCUUCAAGAUUCCAAAAAGGGUCUCUUUUUUCCACAAUGCUUUCUUGGCUUUUAUUAAGCUUUCUAUUUUCUUAAAACUUUAAAAUUUUCACAUCAGAAGUUUCCAGUGUCUCCAAACAUCUAUAAAUAUUUUAAUGUAUAAACUUUGUUUAAAUUCCCUAUCAGUACCUGCUGAUUGAGAAAAGACACAAUUACCAAUAAUAACUAAUAUGAAUUAAUAUUGCUUUUAAGGAAAUAUGCAUACUAGUCCCUACAGCAUCAACAUACAUUUAAAAUAUAGUAGAAUAGACAUGUGCAGCCACUUCCUGUCAAGGUCCUAAAGAUGACCUGUCAUUUCAAAAACCCUGAAGGGUCCAUGGUCUAAAGGUGGGGGGUGAAUUGACAAAGGGCAUAUAAUGGGUCUGUAUCUUCCUGGUUCCUCUGCUUAGCAUAGGGCUGGUAUAAAUUGGACUAUCAGUAAAUAUUUGUUGAACAAAUUAAUGUUGAAUUAAUGUUCCCUUUUUACCUAUCAGAUUAUCACUAAGAGAAAUUAUACUGAAACUAGUCUGUUUGUGCUGAAGUCAUGUGGUAAGCAAUAUCUGAGUUCCUGUUGUGUACAGAGCAUGGCACUGAAUGUAAUAAAAGGGGUUUUAAAAUUGAAAACCAUGGUCUCUGUUCUCCAAGUGCUUGGGUGACAAAAUAAUGUAUGAAGUGUUUAUCAUGUUUAUCUAUAUCAUUCAAAAUGAGCAAAGUGUUGAGAAUGGAUGACUAAUGGUGAAAAUGACAUCAUUUCUAGUAAAUCCUAUGUAUAGCUGUUAAUAUCUGAAUCAUUUGGCUUCCACAUUUGGUUCUAAAACAGUUUUAAAUAUCCAAUGUACUUUUAGUAAAAUUCUUUUUUAUCAAUUACAUCUUAAAAUCUAUACUGACACUUUUAAGUUGUCCUGAAACCAAUCUUAGUCUGGUGGGUUGGCAGAGGAAGAAAAACAACCCUGUUUUUAGUAUUUGAUUUCUUGCUGGCUAUUAUUUAAGACUGAAACAAAGUGACUUAGUCUAUUGUAGCUAUCCAUUGAUCCCAGUCUCUAUUAAAAGAAUUCCAUCUUGUAUUUAUCUUUAAGCUCUGCAUCUAAGAUUUUUUUUAACAUAAAAUUUGUAUUUCUUCAUUUAUUGGGCUAUAUUCUCUAAAAAAAAAAAAAAAUCAGGAAACAAAUGAUAUCACAAGUCCCUUUGCCUUAGCUGAAUUUUAUGAAAAUUACAUAUUUGUUUAUACACACACAACAUAAAUUUUGAAGGAAAUGCCAUAAAGAAGUGCACUUGUUUUAAUUUGCUCAGGUUGCUAUCAAAAAGAACCAUAGACGGGGUGACUUAAAAACAACAGGUAUUCAUUUUUCAUGGCUUUGGAGGGUGGAAGUCUAAAAUCAGGGUGCCAGAAUGGUUGGGUUCUGGUGAAGGCCUUCUUCCUGGUUACAUCCUCAGGUGGCCAAGAGAGGGCUAGCUCCCUCUUCUAUAAGACCACCAAUUCCAUCAUGAAAUCUUUGCCCUGGGACCUAAUUACCUCCAACGGUUCCACUCCUAAUACCAUCCUAUUUAAAGGUUAGGUUUUCAACACAAGGAUGAGGGGAGGAUGUUACACGUGCACUUAAUAACUAACCUUAAAGUUCCUAGGUGUAGAGCUUGGGGGUAUGUCUCAGUGAUAGGACACUUGCUUAGCAUGUGCAAGGCCCUAUGAUCAAUUUCCUGCACCACACACACUGUAAAAAUUACUAGGUGAACUAUUUUAGAAAACAACUGGGAUUUCCCCUAAGAAUCAUCACAAGAUGAGGGUUAGGUUUUUCUAUUACAGGGCACAGGGACUCAGAUUAAACGGGAGGAAACUGGGAGCUCUAAUCAUGAGGAUUUAUGUGGAUGAAAAUAAUGGAGAUCACUCCUAAGGCCAUGCCUUAGGAAACAGAACCUGAGAUGUGAUCAUUCUGAGACAGAGCUGCUUUCUCCCGUACUCUUGGCUACUGUUUCUCUUCCAGCUCUCUCUUUUGCAGUCUCUGUUUAAGGUAGCAGUAUAACAUGAUUUUUAAAAAGCAUUAUUUCUGUAGCUUAUAAGACUUGGGUUUGAUUCCUUUGGUAAGUUACCAUAUCUUUUGAGUGAUUUCCUACCCUGUAAAAUGUCUUGUUUAAAAGUAAAAUCAUGUAUUGACACUUUUGAGAGUGCUGAAUCAAUGCUACUAUGAAUAUGCUUCCUAAGUCAUUUCCUCAAAAUCAUUGCAUAAAAUUCCUCAUAGGUAUAGCUGUACCUCAUUAGUAUCCUUAUUUAAGCUCCUGGUACUACCUACCUUGCUCUCUUAGGUUUCUUAUUCAGCUUCCUGGGGAAGAAUCAAAUUAGAAUACCUACUGAGGCUGUGUCCCUGGGCACAGUGUAUGCGUUAUUAGGUAUUCUGCCCUGCAAAAGGGGAAGGACAAGGACCAUCAAUUUGAAUCCCUCCCCCAUUAGCUCCCAUGUGCUAUUCUACCCCACUUGCUAACACCAGUAUUUGAAAAUGACUUUCUGACAGAACUCAAGUUCUCAUGCUUUUCACCUUUAAGAUGAUACCAGAAACUGUUUCUGGUUUCAUCUUCUUUCAUCUUUUGAUAAAAAGCAUGUCUGACCAAUGAGGAGGGAUGGCCAUAUUAGGCAACAAUGAUAGUGGUUCCUUGUGCCUUUGGUAAAAAACCCUUGAUUUCUUUCCAAAUUAAGGCUUUUCCAGUUGUGAAGAAAAAGGAUGUCUGUGUGACAUGCAUUUGGUAUGGAAUAGGAAGCAUUAUUUGGGUUAUCUUAACAACUGCUCUCUUGAGAAUAUCUAAAUGACACUCAUGUUCUACGCUAAUCUUGCAGGAGUCAUCUCACCUUUUCAAGAGGCUGGAGAAGCUGCCAAAGAGAAAAACGUGAGAAGUUCCAGCUGUAGGAACAUUAAGUCUUUACGAAGUGAACUAAGGACAACAGUCCCCAGAGGGACCUCUGCAAGAUUUCUGGGUGCUUGCUUGGUUACGCUAUUUUUAUUAUCCUGUCUUCAAGAAAGAGUAUUAAGGUCAAGGAAGAGCUAGCUUACAAGGUUUCCAAGAGAAGUCUAAGAAGAAUCUUAAGAGAUUCAAGACAUUCGCUCAGAAGGAUGAACCUAUAAAACAAGAGGUCCUUGUAAUGAGAGUUUGUGAGCAGUAUUGCAACAGUCUUACUAUGAAACCGACUGUCAUUCAGCCUGGCAGUCUCAGAGCUGCUUCUGUUGGAUGAACCCUGAAAGAAUUUCUUGUGCCAUGUUCUAUUCCCAGAGAACUAUUUUUGGAGAAGUUAUCAGAACAAUAUUUUUUCCAAAG